rnacentral:rRNA from 1 species
AGAGUUUGAUCCUGGCUCAGAACGAACGCUGGCGGCAGGCUUAACACAUGCAAGUCGAGCGCCCCGCAAGGGGAGCGGCAGACGGGUGAGUAACACGUGGGAACGUACCUUUGGUUCGGAACAACUCCGGGAAACUGGAGCUAAUACCGGAUAAGCCCUAACGGGGAAAGAUUUAUCGCCAAAAGAUCGGCCCGCGUCUGAUUAGCUAGUUGGUGAGGUAACGGCUCACCAAGGCGACGAUCAGUAGCUGGUCUGAGAGGAUGAUCAGCCACACUGGGACUGAGACACGGCCCAGACUCCUACGGGAGGCAGCAGUGGGGAAUAUUGGACAAUGGGCGCAAGCCUGAUCCAGCCAUGCCGCGUGAGUGAUGAAGGCCUUAGGGUUGUAAAGCUCUUUUGUCCGGGAAGAUAAUGACUGUACCGGAAGAAUAAGCCCCGGCUAACUUCGUG